UACAGAGGUGGCAAGCGUUGUUCGGAAUUACUGGGCGUAAAGGGCUCGUAGGCUGCCAACUAAGUCGGACGUGAAAUCCCCCGGCUCAACCGGGGAACGGGCGCGGAUACGACCUUCCUUGAGGGGCGUAGGGGGACCUGGAACUUCCGGUGGAGCGGUGAAAUGCGUUGAGAUCGGAAGGAACGCCCGUGGCGAAAGCGAGGUCCUGGACGCCUACUGACGCUGAGACGCGAAAGCCAGGGGAGCGAACGGG
rnacentral:rRNA from 1 species